rnacentral:rRNA from 1 species
AGUGAACGCUGGCGGUAGGCCUAACACAUGCAAGUCGAACGGCAGCACAGUAUGAGCUUGCUCUUACGGGUGGCGAGUGGCGUACGGGUGAGGAAUACAUCGGAAUCUACUUUUUCGUGGGGGAUAACGUAGGGAAACUUACGCUAAUACCGCAUACGACCUACGGGUGAAAGCAGGGGAUCUUCGGACCUUGCGCGAUUGAAUGAGCCGAUGUCGGAUUAGCUAGUUGGGGGGGUAAAGGCCCACCAAGGCGACGAUCCGUAGCUGGUCUGAGAGGAUGUUAAGCCACACUGGAACUGGGACACGGACGAGACUCCUGCGGGAGGCAGCAGUGGGAGAUUUUGGACAAUGGGCGCAAGCCUGAUCCAGCCAUACCGCGUGGGUGACGAAGGCAUUGAGGUUGUAAAGCCCUUAUGUUGGGAGAGAAGAACAACAAGUUAAUACCGCAAUGUACUGACGGUACCCUAAGAAUAAGCACCGGCUAACUUCGUG